rnacentral:rRNA from 1 species
GACGAACGCUGGCGGCGUGCUUAACACAUGCAAGUCGAACGGAAAGGCCCUGCUUUUGUGGGGUGCUCGAGUGGCGAACGGGUGAGUAACACGUGAGUAACCUGCCCUUGACUUUGGGAUAACUUCAGGAAACUGGGGCUAAUACCGGAUAGGAGCUCCUGCUGCAUGGUGGGGGUUGGAAAGUUUCGGCGGUUGGGGAUGGACUCGCGGCUUAUCAGCUUGUUGGUGGGGGAGUGGCUUACCAAGGCUUUGACGGGUAGCCGGCCGGGGAGGGUGACCGGCCACAUUGGGACUGAGAUACGGCCCAGACUCCUGCGGGAGGCAGCAGUGGGGAAUAUUGCACAAUGGGCGGAAGCCUGAUGCAGCAACGCCGCGUGCGGGAUGACGGCCUUCGGGUUGUAAACCGCUUUCGCCUGUGACGAAGCGUGAGUGACGGUAAUGGGUAAAGAAGCACCGGCUAACUACGUG